rnacentral:rRNA from 1 species
AUUGAGCGCUGGCGGCAGGCCUAACACAUGCAAGUCGAGCGGAUGAAGGGAGCUCGCUCCUGGAUUCAGCGGCGGACGGGUGAGUAAUGCCUAGGAAUCUGCCUGGUAGUGGGGGAUAACGUCCGGAAACGGGCGCUAAUACCGCAUACGUCCUGAGGGAGAAAGUGGGGGAUCUUCGGACCUCACGCUAUCAGAUGAGCCUAGGUCGGAUUAGCUAGUUGGUGGGGUAAAGGCCUACCAAGGCGACGAUCCGUAACUGGUCUGAGAGGAUGAUCAGUCACACUGGAACUGAGACACGGUCCAGACUCCUACGGGAGGCAGCAGUGGGGAAUAUUGGACAAUGGGCGAAAGCCUGAUCCAGCCAUGCCGCGUGUGUGAAGAAGGUCUUCGGAUUGUAAAGCACUUUAAGUUGGGAGGAAGGGCAGUAAGUUAAUACCUUGCUGUUUUGACGUUACCAACAGAAUAAGCACCGGCUAACUUCGUG